UUUAGAGCCCUCUAAUGGUUUGGAAAACACUGCCCAAGGCCAGCUUUCUCCACUAGUGCUUUCCGGAAUCUCUCUUCUCUGUGCCUAAAUGACUCUGCACUGUCCGCGUGUUCUUCCCUCUCUGACCAGCAAUUCCCUGUAUGUUUCUGGAAUUUUUGUCCUCCCCUAGUCUGUCUGAUCUUCUCUCACCACGCUUACUGCCUCAGUGAAGUGAGUCAUCCUUUAAACUUUCCUCUCGCCCAGGUGACCCCAUUCUGAAGGCACUACCUCCAGACCAGUUAGCUUGUAAAGCCGAAGACUUUACUUCUCCCGCCUUUAGGAGCUCUUUCUUCUAGUACUAGGUGGCAAUGAAAGUGGGUGAUUAUGAUUAUGGAGUUAGUCCUGCCUUUCCAACUAAACUGGGCUCCCAGGGUCCCAGCUCAUAGUAAGUUGUCCUUAUGUGGCGUUCUUCCUACAUUUCUUUUCUUUCUUUCUCUUUCAUUCUUUCUUUUUCUUCUUUCUCUUUCUUUUUUUCCUCUUUCUUCUUUUUCUUUCUUACUUCUCUCUCUCUCCCGUGUUCUCAUCUGACGCUUGCUUCUCUCACUGUGACUGCUAACAUAGUUGGUCACUUUCACAUCCACACAUUCUUUCAUAUACCCGCAAGCACACACGUGCUCACAGACGCACACACAGGUGCAAACACUAGUAUAGUCUCUGUCUAAAGCAGGGGAUAGGGAAAUGUUCGCCAGAGAACAAUCUGACCACCCUAAGGGAACUUAAAAGAAAUCGGAUGAGGCUUUGCUUUCUCUCUUUUAAUGCCCGCGGAUUGCAGAGCAACGGUUAUCUUGGCUCAGCAGCUCCGGGAACAAUCAGCGUUGGGGACCAGACUGGCGGGACAUUUGGGCUCCCCCAUACGUGGACCUAUGUUUGUUGCAAGAUGGUUGGAAGAGCGUGUCAAGAAGACAUCAUGUUAUGUCCUUGGAAGUUGAAUGAAGAACGGCUUGCAAAGGAGAAGUGCGCGCAGUACCGGCGCGGCCCGCUCUGCUCGAUUCUCCGGGCGGGCCUCGGCCUGGCUUGCCGGUGCCCGCAUUGCCGCGUGCCACCGCUCCUGGCCUGCUUGAGGACUGUGGGAGUGAGUCAGCGCUGGAGAUCUGAGCUGGAAGCUGCCUGGAGUCCUUCCGCACUGAUAUUUUGUCCCUUUCCUGUGGAGCCUCACUAUGUUACCCAGGCUGGACUCAAACUCCUGGACUUAAGCAAUCCUCCCGCCUCAGCCUCCCAAAUAGCUUGGACUAUAGAUGUGUGACACUGGGCCUGGUUCAGAUAUGUUUAUGUAUUUGCCUCAUUCUGAUGCCAUUUAAAUAUGUCAUGUUCCAAGCAUCAUAAACUUCUUUAGAUAGCUUUUAAGGGGCCUGAAUGUGGAAUGCUGUCCUAUUAAAUUCUAUCUCAUUACAUUUGACACAUCGCUCCAGUCUUUUAAAAUGUUUUUGGACUCUGCUUCUAGCAUCUUACUGCAUAAAUAAACUCUUCCUCUUACCUGUGUGUCAACAAUAGAUUUCACCAGCAUAUGACUUAUAACAAUAUUGCAUUGAGUGAGGCUGAAGAUAGAGCCCCAUGGUGAGCCUAUAAAGAACCAUGUCAAAGUUGAAAUGGAUCCAUUACCAAGACUUUUGGGAAAUGGUUGUUCAACCAGUUAACUGCAAAUCAAUCUAAUUGUACCAUGAUUUACCCUAGGUCUCCCCAUGAGCUAAUCAACAAGAACACUACAAAAGACUUUUGUCUAAUGUCUUACUGAAAUUUAUAUGCACUGUCUUGACCUUCUGCUCAACCAUGCUGUCAAAGAAAUUAAGUUCCACUUAAACUUUGAAGUUUGUGUGUUCUUUGGCACUGCGCUUUUACCAACUCUAGACUUUUCCUCCCAUUCUGGGGCUUGCCUAACAGCAGACACCAGCCGCACCUGCAAACAUGCUUCUUUCUUUUCUACUGCAACUGUGCAAUACACUUUUGUUUUCCUAAAUGCAUUAUACAUAUAACUGAAAAACUGAGUCAACUGGGAUCAUCUGAAUCAUGUUUUAAAUAUACAGUAAACUGCUGAAUCGUUCAAUCAAUCAAGUUAUUGAUCAACCCCUCCGUAAGUCUUAUAUUUCCAGAAUGAAAAGUCUUUUUGUAAUACAAAUGUAAUACUUUUUUUUUUUUUUUUUUUGGUGAUGGAGUUUCACUCUUGUUGCCAGGCUGGAGUGCAAUGGCGCGACCUCGGCUCACUGCAACCUCUGCCUCCCAGGUUUAAGCCAUUCUCCUGUCUCAGCCUCCUGAGCAGCUGGGAUUAUAGGCAUGUGCCACCACGCCCGGCUAAUUUUGUGUUUUUAGUAGAGAUGAGGUAGGUUUCUUCAUGUUGGUCAGGCUGGUCUCUAACUCCAGACCUCAGGUGAUCCACUAGCCUCGGCCUUCCAAAGUGCUGGGAUUACAGAUGUGAGCCACCACGCCCGGCACAAAUAUAAUACUUUCUAACAUGGAUUUUUGUUUACCUAGGCUGAGUUUUCCCAAAACAUACCAUACCUUUAAACACAAUAACAGACUCGGGCUGCUGUAACUUAAAUCACCAGUAAAUCCAAUACCUGGCACAUGAUGUUCUCCUGCCUAGAAAUUCCUUAAGUCUUCAGACUCAGCAAAGUAAAUAGCAGGUUAAAAAAAAAACAAACUGGUAGUUUAUGUGAAGACAAAUAAAAGCAGUUUCCAUUUGGAUUAAUUUUACCUUGACCCUAUAUUAUUUUUAAGUCAUACUGUCGUUCCUUUGCAAGCUAGAUCAUAACCUUCAUGAAGUCAAGGCCCAUGUGUCUUGCUCUUCACUCUAUUCCCAGAGUCAAGCAUGAUACGUGGCAUCUGUAUAAUAGGUGUUCAAUGACUAUGUCGUGAGCAGAUAGAAUGAGGAAUAAAUGAAUGUAUGUGUACAAAAAUGCUACUUCAUCUAUUCCUAAAAUAAAAAAAAAAUCUGUUUUGUAGAGGAUCAAGUGUAGAUGUGACCAAUGUCUUCAGGAAAAAAAUUUGUGGGGGCAAAAAUCAGCAUCUCAGAUGCAUGAUAUGGUUUGGCUCUGUGUCCCCAUGCAAGUCUCAUCUCAAAUUUUAAUCCCCAUGUGUCAGGGGCGUGGGAGGUGAUUGGAUCACAAGGCCAGUUUCCUUCGUGCUGUUCUCGUGAUAGUGAUUUAUCAUGAGAUCUGAUAGUUUAAAAGUGUGGCAUGUCUCCCCCAACCCCCUGCCUUGCUCUGUCUCUCUCCUGCCACCAUGUAAGACGUGCCUUGCUUCCUCUUCCACCAUAAUUACAAGUUUCCUGAGGCCUCCCCAGACAUGCAGAACAGCCAGUCAAUUAAACCUCUUUUCCUUAAAAAUUACCCAGUCUCAGGUGGUUUUAUUGAUAUAUAGCAUUGUGAGA